AGAGUUUGAUCAUGGCUCAGAUUGAACGCUGGCGGCAGGCCUAACACAUGCAAGUCGAACGGUAACAGGAAACAGCUUGCUGUUUCGCUGACGAGUGGCGGACGGGUGAGUAAUGUCUGGGAAACUGCCUGAUGGAGGGGGAUAACUACUGGAAACGGUAGCUAAUACCGCAUAACGUCGCAAGACCAAAGAGGGGGACCUUCAGGCCUCUUGCCAUCGGAUGUGCCCAGAUGGGAUUAGCUUGUUGGUGGGGUAACGGCUCACCAAGGCGACGAUCCCUAGCUGGUCUGAGAGGAUGACCAGCCACACUGGAACUGAGACACGGUCCAGACUCCUACGGGAGGCAGCAGUGGGGAAUAUUGCACAAUGGGCGCAAGCCUGAUGCAGCCAUGCCGCGUGUAUGAAGAAGGCCUUCGGGUUGUAAAGUACUUUCAGCGGGGAGGAAGGGAGUAAAGUUAAUACCUUUGCUCAUUGACGUUACCCGCAGAAGAAGCACCGGCUAACUCCGUGCCAGCAGCCGCGGUAAUACGGAGGGUGCAAGCGUUAAUCGGAAUUACUGGGCGUAAAGCGCACGCAGGCGGUUUGUUAAGUCAGAUGUGAAAUCCCCGGGCUCAACCUGGGAACUGCAUCUGAUACUGGCAAGCUUGAGUCUCGUAGAGGGGGGUAGAAUUCCAGGUGUAGCGGUGAAAUGCGUAGAGAUCUGGAGGAAUACCGGUGGCGAAGGCGGCCCCCUGGACGAAGACUGACGCUCAGGUGCGAAAGCGUGGGGAGCAAACAGGAUUAGAUACCCUGGUAGUCCACGCCGUAAACGAUGUCGACUUGGAGGUUGUGCCCUUGAGGCGUGGCUUCCGGAGCUAACGCGUUAAGUCGACCGCCUGGGGAGUACGGCCGCAAGGUUAAAACUCAAAUGAAUUGACGGGGGCCCGCACAAGCGGUGGAGCAUGUGGUUUAAUUCGAUGCAACGCGAAGAACCUUACCUGGUCUUGACAUCCACGGAAGUUUUCAGAGAUGAGAAUGUGCCUUCGGGAACCGUGAGACAGGUGCUGCAUGGCUGUCGUCAGCUCGUGUUGUGAAAUGUUGGGUUAAGUCCCGCAACGAGCGCAACCCUUAUCCUUUGUUGCCAGCGGUCCGGCCGGGAACUCAAAGGAGACUGCCAGUGAUAAACUGGAGGAAGGUGGGGAUGACGUCAAGUCAUCAUGGCCCUUACGACCAGGGCUACACACGUGCUACAAUGGCGCAUACAAAGAGAAGCGACCUCGCGAGAGCAAGCGGACCUCAUAAAGUGCGUCGUAGUCCGGAUUGGAGUCUGCAACUCGACUCCAUGAAGUCGGAAUCGCUAGUAAUCGUGGAUCAGAAUGCCACGGUGAAUACGUUCCCGGGCCUUGUACACACCGCCCGUCACACCAUGGGAGUGGGUUGCAAAAGAAGUAGGUAGCUUAACCUUCGGGAGGGCGCUUACCACUUUGUGAUUCAUGACUGGGGUGAAGUCGUAACAAGGUAACCGUAGGGGAACCUGCGGUUG
rnacentral:rRNA from 1 species